rnacentral:misc_RNA from 1 species
AAGUCGUAACAAGGUUUCCGUAGGUGAACCUGCGGAAGGAUCAUUACAGAGUUCAUGCCCUUCGGGGUAGACCUCCCACCCUUGUGUAUUUAUACUUUGUUGCUUUGGUAGGCCGUUGGGCUCCGGCCUAGCCACUGGCUCUGGCUAGUAAGUGCCUACCAGAGGAAACCAAACCCUGAAUGUUAGUGUCGUCUGAGUACUAUAUAAUAGUUAAAA